rnacentral:rRNA from 1 species
ACGCUCGACACCUACGGGAGGCAGCAGUUGGGAAUAUUGGACAAUGGAGGAAACUCUGAUCCAGUGACGCCGCGUGAAGGAAGAAGGUCUUCGGAUUGUAAACUUAUUUUGUCAGGGAAGAAAAAUGACUGUACCUGAAGAAAAAGCACCGGCUAACUACGUGCCAACAGCCGCGGUAAUCUGAGCGGGCUGGCAAGGC